rnacentral:sRNA from 1 species
ACAAAAUGGGAGGCAAAUUGGUGUUUGUUUACCCUGACGACGGCUGAAGUUUUUCUCAUAGCAAUGACCCAGUCUCUAAUCACUUCAGUCAAAUGGAAGUAAAUAUAAAAAUAUUACAUUGAAAUAGGAAAAAUUUUCCUGAAUAGUGAAAGUGAGAGAUUUUUUUCUUUGUAGAUUCUUCCUUGAAGUCGUCGCAGAAUGAAAGACCAACUCUGAUUGGGGGAAAAGAUAGACUUCAAUUCAGCCGGUAGUGCAAACAAUCCAGGGACCACUGAGAACUGGUACAUUCGUGCACCCGGAACAAGGAGGAUUUUAGCGUGUAAGCACUGGGAUGGAGUGGUCACGUUGUUCAGUCUUGUUUGUGGCCUGUAUGAUAGGCAUACUAAUCAAUGGCGUGUCUGGG